GUCGCCGCCGCCGUCGUCGUCGUCGUCGUUGUCGUUGUCGAUGGCUCGUAGUCGUUAAACCGUCGGCCACGUCAUAUUCCAACUAACUAUAAUCGUCCGGCGUUAUCGUCAAGCGAUAAACUCUUUGGAGCCGUUGGAUCGAGUAUAAGGCCUCCCUUGAUUCGGUUUUCUUGCGAAUUUGUGUGUGCGUGUAUGUACGUGUAGGAAAGGGAGGCGAGGAAGGAGGGUAAAAAAAAUAAUAUCUGGAGAUCUAUGUACGAUCGAUUGGUUACGCGGAAAAUUCCUUAGAAAAUUUACUACGACAUAGAUACGUGGAACGCGCGGAAGAAGGACGCGGACAAGAGGGUGAGAGGAGAAGAGAAGUUUUUCAACCGUUGCUCCGAGCGGUUUCGUUCUCGUUCUCGUUUAUCCGCUUUGCUUUGAGGCAAACGGAAGAAGAGAGAGAGAGAGAGAGAGAGAGAGAGAGAGAGAGAGAGAGAGAAGAGAUAGA